UACGGAGGGGGCUAGCGUUGUUCGGAAUCACUGGGCUUAAAGGGCGCGUAGGCGGUCCGACAAGUCAGGGGUGAAAUCCUGCAGCUUAACUGCAGAAGUGCCUUUGAUACUGUCGGUCUCGAGGGAGAUAGGGGUGUGCGGAACUCACAGUGGAGCGGUGAAAUGCGUUGAUAUUGUGAGGAACGCCGGAGGCGAAAGCGGCGCACUGGAUCUCUUCUGACGCUGAGGCGCGAAAGCUAGGGGAGCAAACGGG
rnacentral:rRNA from 1 species